rnacentral:lncRNA from 1 species
AACUCCUUGUACAAAAAAUAAAGGGCACUGAAGCCCCACACGUACGGGCCGGAAGAGCAGUUGACGUAUGUACGUGUGGACGCAGCACUGAUAUACGGUACUCUUAGGCGGCCAUGCUUGCAAGGAAAGGACUGCGAAAAGUUUCUUCUCCCUGGUCCUAUAGCUGCGAUGCAAGAUAAACAGUACACGUCUCUCUCUGGCAGGGCUUGCAAAAGACGAUGGUACUGAGCGAGUCCUCAAAUGAUGAGCCGUAUACUAGGUACUAGCUAGCUACACAGGAGGAGGCAUACACACAGGUGAUGCUCUUGUACCUAACCUAGAGGCUUUUGAGGAGAACGGCGAGCUGCUCUUUUUAAGUCCAGGUCGUUGAAGCUGACUGACCCAGCAGGACCGAGCGAUCGAGGCUCCUGAUGGCCGAUUUGUCCUUGCAGUUGCAGUUAGCCGGUUGCUCACUCCUCUCGUCGAUCGGUCGGUCUUGGGUCCUCCAUGCAUGUACUGGCACCCCCUGUUCAACUCGACCGGGGAGUGGUUGUUGUGUA